rnacentral:rRNA from 1 species
AGAGUUUGAUCAUGGCUCAGAUUGAACGCUGGCGGCAGGCCUAAGACAUGCAAGUCGAGCGAGAAAGCCCUUCGGGGUGAGUACAGCGGCGGACGGGUGAGUAACGCGUAGGAAUCUACCCAGUAGUGGGGGACAACUAGUGGAAACGCUAGCUAAUACCGCAUACGCCCUAAGGGGGAAAGCGGGGGAUCUUCGGACCUCGUGCUAUUGGAUGAGCCUGCGUAAGAUUAGCUUGUUGGUGAGGUAAUGGCUCACCAAGGCUACGAUCUUUAGCUGGUCUGAGAGGAUGAUCAGCCACACCGGGACUGAGACACGGCCCGGACUCCUACGGGAGGCAGCAGUCGGGAAUAUUGCGCAAUGGGGGAAACCCUGACGCAGCCAUGCCGCGUGUGUGAAGAAGGCCCUAGGGUUGUAAAGCACUUUCAAUUGGGAGGAAAAGCUAAUGGUUAAUAACUAUUAGCCCUGACGUUACCUUUAGAAGAAGCACCGGCUAACUCCGUGCCAGCAGCCGCGGUAAUACGGAGGGUGCAAGCGUUAAUCGGAAUUACUGGGCGUAAAGCGCGCGUAGGCGGUUUUUUAAGUCGGAUGUGAAAGCCCCGGGCUCAACCUGGGAACUGCAUCCGAUACUGGAUAACUAGAAUGCGGGAGAGGGAGGUAGAAUUCCAUGUGUAGCAGUGAAAUGCGUAGAUAUAUGGAGGAAUAC